CCUAUGUUUACUAACGAGCAGCUGUUAGAUAGAAUUUAUGACCCCGACCAUACUCUGUGUCGAAAUUUUGGAGCUGAAAUAUAUGUGCCAAAGCACGCUCAUGACGGAAAGACUUGUACUGCAAUAAGAUCUGAAGCUUCUGGCAAUUGCCUCUACAGUUCAGCUUCCCUAGUUCUGGUUUACCUCUUCGUGGGCAUCGUGAUGAUUCCAAGUAUCACCCUACUGUUGGUUGUUAUUCAUCUGGAGGG